UACGAAGGGGGCUAGCGUUGCUCGGAAUCACUGGGCGUAAAGCGCACGUAGGCGGCUUUUUAAGUCAGGGGUGAAAUCCUGGAGCUCAACUCCAGAACUGCCUUUGAUACUGAGAAGCUUGAGUCCGGGAGAGGGAAGUGGAAUUUCCGGUGUAGCGGUGAAAUGCGUAGAUAUCGGAAGGAACAUCAGUGGCGAAAGCGACUUCCUGGACCAAUACUGACGCUCAUGUGCGAAAGCGUGGGGAGCAAACAGG
rnacentral:rRNA from 1 species